CUCACACCUGUAGUCCCAACACUUUGGGAGGUCGAGGCGGGAGGAUUUCUUGAGGCGAGUAGUUCAACACCAGCCUGGGCAACAUAGUGAGACCCUCGUCUCCACAUACAAAAAACACUUCAGUCCACAAGGAUAACAACCAACAUUUUCAGAGCACUUGGCAAUUUACAAAAUACAUCUGCCUGAAGGUACAGCACUACCAGCCUCAUUUUACGUGUGUGAAAACUGAAGCACAGAAGAAUUGGGUGACUUGUCAGACGCUGCAUAGGUGGUCAGCAUUAUGGUCUUCAUCCCUCCAUCAACCUUAAUCACAUACUGCAUGUGACCAGCAGGAAGAGGGGUCUUGAGAAUAGGAGGGGAGAUCAAAGAAGACAUCGUCGUCUAUUUGACAUCAAAACUGGCCAGUAAGUGCACAAGAAAUGAGCUGGGUUACCUGGAACCUAACCUUGGG
rnacentral:lncRNA from 10 species